CAACUGAUCAAUAGUACAGAGGAGGUGAACACUUUAAAUAAGGAGAAUGAGGAAUUGAAAUACAGAAACAAAUUAUUAGAAGAGCAGCUUGAUUUAUUCCAGUCAGAGAUAAAAGAAAGAGAGAAGGUUGAGAAGCAAGAUGAAGAAAUGCAAUCACUUAGCAUACCGCAGUUAGCAUACUAUCAGGAAGAGAAGGACAGUGAAGAAACUUUUGCAGAAGACAUUAAAGAA